UGGACGACAGCAAGCACACCAAAGGCGUGUGCUCCGCCAUUCACUGCAACGGCCGCUGGCGGCAAGACGCGAACUGUGAGACCAGCAUGUUCGGCUCGGUGUGCGAACUGGACCCGUGUCUGAAGAACUUCGGACCCACCGUUCCGGUUCGAUCCGGUUGCCGCAAGGGCAAGGUCACGGAGGUCGGCAGCGGGCCGUGGCCGGAGAGCCAAACGUGUUUGUGAGCUGGCUCAUCUCAGAUAACAAACUAGCACUUAGUUUUAUAAUUUGUUGAAGGUCGCUCCUCGUACACACCGACGUUUUGGCUCUGGUUGGCGAAUAACCAGGCAUUUUGACAACACUUGUUUCAAUGCUGUCGCAAGGCGAGAUAAACAGACUUCAUUCGUUUCA